GUAGGGUGGUGACGGUGGUGGAGAAGACGAGGCUAACGCUCAUGUCACAUUCAUGGCACCAGUACGUCAAUCUUACGCUGCUGCUGCUGGACAUUUUGGUUUGGCCAAUCUUAUUAUUUGUUCGUUUGUUUCUGCGUUUUCAUUUUUGGUUGAAUAUUAAAGAAAGAAUGGCCGUGUAUGAGUAUGAGCGAUACUCAUUUGUGUGUGGGGCUGCCUUGCCUUUUCCUUUUAGACAUUAGCAUUUGCUACCUUUCGGCUGGUGGUACUGCCAGUGCCGGUGCUCUGUCCUAUUCAUUGUCAGUUUUCGUGGUUAACAAACUAUUAAUAAUAGAUAGAUUUUCAUGGUGGAUUACUUAACACAAAGUGACGCUUUGGCCGAGUGGUUAAGGCGUGUGCCUGCUAAGUACAUGGGGUUUCCCCGCGAGAGUUCGAAUCUCUCAGGCGUCGCUGGUAACUUUUUCUUUUUGUAUUUAUUUACUUAUCUAUAAUGGUCACUUUUCUUCAAUCUAGGCUAGGGUUUCCUCCCUUCCGCUGUUGUCUUGCUGCCCAGUUCGAAAUGCCAAAGUUUCAGGUUAGAAUCUGUUACAGACAACAGAAAAUUCUAUUAUCAUUUCGUGGGUUUUCCUUGAUUUCAAUUUUUGCGCACUUUGCUGAAACUCUCUCCAACAGAAAAUUCCUUGAUUUCAUGUUUUCUGUAAUUUCCCAUUUGACUCUUUAUAAUUGCUUGGAAAUUCAUUGCCAAUUAUCCUUAUAAACCCAUCGUUGUUUAUUAUUAUUAUUGUUAUUUAAUAGUUUGUGAACUGGAGAUAACAUAGCUUCCUUUAUAAUUCAGUGUAAUUAUUGAACACAGUUUUUUGCAUUGCAUUGAACAACUUGCCAAACAAUGAUCAUGUUCUGUCCAUGCUGAAAAGGUCAUGUCUUGAUGCAAACAAGUACCUUGCUCAUAUUAAUGCGCAUUUUUACUUGAGUGUUUGAUCUGCACAUAUUUUAAAUUCGUACCGUAUGAGCUGGUUUUGAUCUCAAUAUUGAUGUCAUUGGAGAACACUUUUCUUGGUGUUAAUAAUGUGAAACAAUCUCCUCCACACCUAGAAGAACAGCCUUUACGUCAGUGCCCGUAAUAUAUAAGUAGAUAUCAGGAAAAGGUUGUGCCAUGAUAGUUAAACUAAGUAGACUACUGUAUAUUACAUGCUAGAAAUUGUUGUUCAUUAUUUGAAUGGAUUUCUGUCCAUAGGGGAAUGGAUACAAGCUUUUAAGUACACUCUGUCGGAACAGAAUAUGAGUGGUAAAAAAUGAAUGUCGUGAAAGUUUAUGAAGGUUUUCAUUUUCCAAUGAGGUAACAUUUAUGUUCUGUGAAAUAGGAUAUCCAUCCUCUAAUUUAUAAUUGACGGCAAGAAGGUUCUUAGUUGUGUAUUCAAUCUUUUGAGAGGCUCAUGGAGCUUUCUGACUACUAAAAGACAAGGAGUUCGCAGUUAAGAGUAGCUUGAUUCUGUUAUGUUCUGCAAUAUUUGAUUUGAGUAAAAGGUCAAGUAUAUUGAGGUUUGUCAUACAAAACUUUUUGGCAUUGAUGCUUUGCAAUGUGUUAGUGGAAUUGUUGUAUUUUAUACAAUUUGACUUGCACAUGCAAGCCAAACUCUGCCUUGCCUACUCUUCUAGUACUUUUGUUGUCUCUAUUCACUAACGACUUAUGUCUCCUAUGACUAAGAGUAUAGAAAUUUCUAAAGCGCCAGAUAUCGGACACGGAGGAUAUGCUAUAUCUCUAUCUAGAAGAACCAAGAUGUGAUCUAAUUGGUAAGAUAAAUGUCCAGCAUUGGAGUUCAUGCUCACUGAUAUACCUAGAGGCUUCAAGAAUGGCACAUGAUAAUUAACCAUACCAGUCUCCAGAAUUGAUUCUCAAGUGCAUUUAGAUCGGGUUGCCUAGCAUUAGCACCCUACCAAACUUU
rnacentral:lncRNA from 1 species